CUCUCUCAACAGGCGGAGUCCGUUCAGCGCCAAGGGGAGCAAAUCCAAAGGCUCCAGGAGGCGUUGGAGUGACGACAGACGACGGCGGCUCAAGCAGGGGCCGAACACCCUGUGCCUCUUAUUGUGGUGCCGACGGUGGCCGAGAAAGUAGCGGCGGCGGCUUUAUCCGCUCAACUCUCAGACCUCGCCGGAUCCGGAGGUAGCGGAGGUCUCGACCUCCUCCAGAUUUGCCGCGUUAUCCGCUGCGGCAGAUUGGGAGCGUGUAAUCGGCAUCACACUACAAUAUCAUAAAAGCGUAAGUUAGUAAACUCACGCCAUCGAAUCCCCACUCAAGAAGGUAAUGCCCCAAAUCAUGCGAAAGUAAUGAAGUGUGCUUCACUACUAACUCAGAGGGUUACGUUGUCGGCCGCCAACGUAACCCUCUGUGGAGUUAGGAGCUAUACACUUCAAUUUAACUCCACUUUCUAGAGUUGUCAAGAUACCCAAUCACGAUACUUUCGCUUACAAGUCAAAUAGACCUCGUCUCUCACAAGCCUAUUUCCUAUAGUCCAACCGGCCUAAGGUUUGCUAGGUCCACUAAGACUCAACCCUAGGCUCUGAUACCAAACUAAUCUGUCACGCCCCGGGACCCAGCGGAAGCCCACCCGGUGCGUGCCCAGACCCGCCAUAUGUCUAAAACAUACAAGGCGUUUAAAACAAAACGAUAAAUAAUGCAGUAGAACAAAAGAAUCUAACGAUAUCAGAGCAAAGUAAAUAACUAAGUUCUACACAGAGGGGUAAGCAUAAAACUGCAAUCCACUAAUAAAGCCAUAAAGUAGUACAAAGGAAAUUCCAAAUACAAAAACUAAACAUAAAGAGUAUAUAGGUGGUCUCUCUAUACAUGGUACUCAAAAUCUCUCUAUCUCUCUAAUACAAUAAAAGAAAGAGUAAACCACCUAAGCUCAAAAGUAGCUCCCCGCUAACUAGCUACGCGACUCCCUUGCCGCGAUCCCGUGCCUCCGCCGGUGCCGAAGGCUCUGAAAUAAAACCAUAAAACAGGGGGCGUGAGAACUAUUGAAUAAUAGUUCCCAGUGGGCAAUUACUGGCUUCAGUGAAAUGCACCACUAGGCCCAAACUAAAAAGGGGUCAGUAAGCAGAUAUAAACAAAACGAUAUGUACGACAAGUACAUAAGCAUGAAUAUUUGCUACCAUAUGAUAUCUCUACUCAGCAGGAUUUAGCAUAAGUAAGAAAAGCUAUUCUCAAAAGAAUGUACCGAAGCAUCGCUAGUAUGAUAUCCAUAAGUCAAAUAGCAAAGAUGUCAUUGUUUACUAGUCUAAUCAAUGUCUACAUGGCAUGAUGAAUGCUCAAAAUCAAAUCUGAAGAGACCCGCCCGAAGGUUGUCUGGCCCUGAGACCCACCCGUAGGCUAUCUGGCCGGUGCUGAGCCUAAUGGCCCCGUGGUAGUCAACAUCCCCACUCUAUGAAUGAGCCUUUCCCAUGGCAAUCCACUUCGGCGCC
rnacentral:lncRNA from 1 species